rnacentral:rRNA from 1 species
UACGAGGGGGGCGAGCGUUGUUCGGAAUUAUUGGGCGUAAAGGGUGCGUAGGCGGUUCCGCAAGUCCUGUGUGAAAUCUUCGGGCUCAACUCGAAGUCUGCACGGGAAACUGCGGGGCUUGAGUGUGGGAGAGGUGAGUGGAAUUCCAGGUGUAGCGGUGAAAUGCGUAGAUAUCGGGAGGAACACCUGUGGCGAAAGCGGCUCACUGGACCAUAACUGACGCUGAUGCACGAAAGCUAGGGGAGCAAACAGG